rnacentral:misc_RNA from 1 species
GACACUGGGAGCUGUCUCCUGGGCAGAAUUCAGGCAAGUCACAAUCCCCUCUGGUAGGACGACACUGCCAGCCAGACGGGCGCAGCUGGCAAUUUUGACAACAGGGUCCGUCAGAUGCACACUGUGCACCUGGCCUCAGCUGGCAGGUCAAAGAAUCACAGCAGGGAUCGACGCAGUCAUCCAGGAAGCCACAGUCACACUGCUCGCCCGGCUCCACAAACAUAUUUCCG